GGUGGUCGAGGGAAUCUGAGAAGGCGCACAAGGUUUGUGUCCAAUACAGUCCAUACCUUGCGCUACUCAGGUCUGCUCGUGCCCU
rnacentral:pre_miRNA from 1 species